rnacentral:rRNA from 1 species
GGAAUAUUGCACAAUGGGCGCAAGCCUGAUGCAGCAAUACCGCGUGUGUGAAGAAGGCCUGAGGGUUGUAAAGCACUUUCAGUGGGGAGGAAAGGUUAUUGGUUAAUACCCAAUAGCUGUGACGUUACCCACAGAAUAAGCACCGGCUAACUCCGUUCCAGCAGCCGCGGUAAUACGGAGGGUGCAAGCGUUAAUCGGAAUUACUGGGCGUAAAGCGCGCGUAGGCGGUUGAUUAAGUCAGAUGUGAAAGCCCCGGGCUCAACCUGGGAACUGCAUUUGAUACUGGUCGACUGGAGUAUACUAGAGGGGGGUGGAAUUUCAGGUGUAGCGGUGAAAUGCGUAGAGAUCUGAGGGAACACCAGUGGCGAAGGCGGCCCCCUGGAGUAAUACUGACGCUGAGGUGCGAAAGCGUGGGGAGCA